rnacentral:sRNA from 1 species
GCUGGGCGUGGUGGUGCAUACCUGUAAUCCCAGCUACCCAGGAGGCUGAGGCAGGAGGAUUGCCAGUUCAAAGCCAGUCUCAGAAACUUAGUGAGGCCCUAAGAAAUUUAGUGAGACCCUGUCUCAA